rnacentral:lncRNA from 1 species
CAGGGUAUUUCAAGAAAUAAACGUAUAAAAUGCAUAUUUUUGAAGGACAACCCAGUAUUUCAUUGUAUUUUUACAUUCUUUCUGAAGAUCUGAUUUUAUCGAUUGAUCGCACUCGUGGUCUAGUGAAUACGAUUAGAGAUAUACAGGGUCACGUCAAACGACACAGAAGAUGGUAACUAAAUCUAUUGAUUUCUUGAAAGUUACGAUUUUGUGACAGGUAGAGGUCUAUCAGGGGUACAUUUAAAAAUUAUUUUCAUGAUAUACAGGGUAUCCUCAAAACAUUGAAUAUAUCAAAGUUGUGUAUAAAAUGAUUCAUUUCUUAUCACUUUUUCAGGUUCUCUCUGUAAGGCUGAUUUCAUUAAUCUAUCACACUUUGAGUCUAGCUGAAACGAUGACAGAAAUAUUUGGUCUAAAAAUUCGAUAUUUUUCAUUUGUAAAAUUUUUGUGUCGAAUAUAUUCAUUAUUGGUCAAAAAAGCUAACAUGUUUCUAUCUCAACUAUUUACUGGUAUUUAAACAAUUCACAAACAGGGUGAUUCAAAAUUCUGAAUGUUUCAUUUAAAUAUCAAUUGAUAUUGAAUCAAAUGUUGUGAUAGCGACAUGUGAGCCAUUUUGACCAAUUAUGAAUAGUUUCGAUACAAAAAAUUCCUAAAGUUCGAAAAAUCUUGAUUUUUUACAGCCUAUAUAGGUACCUAAAUAUAAACGUUCCAGUUAGACUCAAAGUAUGAUUGAUUGAUGAAAUCAGCUCACCAGGCAGAAUAUGAAAAUGCAAUGAACUAUAGGGUGUUCCGUAAAAAAAAUCAACUUAGAUGUGCCACAAUUUUUAGGACAUCCUGUAUCAAUGAACCUAUUUCAGAAAUGUCGUCCAGAUUGAUGUACAUUCUCCUGCAAUGAAGAAAAUGAGAAACACGGAAGGGAUGCAUUACUAUUGAUUUUUCCGAAAACUGAAACACAUUUUUAAUAACGAAUUUUUUAUUUACAUAUUCAGAUUUCCAAGAUGCAUCGAUAUCUUCAUCUACUGAUGAAUCAUCGACCAAAACUAUCAGUCCAGAGAUUCUACCCAUACCAACAAUACUAAUCAGCUUAGAACAAGUCGCGAGUUUGCAAACUGUUAGAUCUUUGAAUAUUGAAGACAACGAUCAAUUAUUAUCAGAACCCAAACCUUUUGGUUCUGGUGGCUCUUCUGGAUCUGAAUACAUACCUAGGGAUGAGUCCCGUAGCAGUACGAUAAUACCGGAAACUCCUGAAAAUCUAUUAUCAAGUGAAAAUUAUAUUGAUCAUGUUUCCCAAAGUGUACCUGUUGAUAAUUCCGAAAACCUUUUUUCAAUGAAUACCGACAUGAAAAUCGAUAAGCUUUCAUCCAUCCGGUGUAACUAGUUCUACUGAUCAGAAAAAUCUAACAAAAGAACAAGUUCAAAUAAAAUGUGCAAGAAAAGAAUAUGGUGGUAAAAGAAUUGGGGAUAAAGACCACAGUUGUUAUUUUUGUCACAAGUUACUUCGUAAUUUAGCCAGACAUUUUGAAAGGGCACAUAGUAAUGAAACGGAAGUUGCUAGAAUCCUGAGUAUGCCAAAGAAAUCCAAGAGACGAAGAGAUGCAUUCAAUGCUUUGACGCGUAAUGGUGAUUUCUAUCAUAAUUGCGACGUGCUCUUAUUAAAAAAAGGAGAACUCAUCUUAACUCGUAGACCAAACGAGCAAGAAAAACAAUUUUCAAAAUAUUCUGACUAUGGUCCUUGACCCGAAUGUCUAGGUUUCAUGUGAAAAAGACAUCUAUGGCAUCAUCUUAAAUACUCAUGUGCCUGCAUGAAGGAUAAAAAUAUUUCAAAUUCUAUAAAAACAUCACGACAACCAGCUGCUGAGAGCACCUCUUUACUGAAUGGAAUUUAUGGUCACAAUCUGACAGAAGACUUUCGAUCAAAUAUUUUGAACAAACUACGAAAUGAUGACAUAUCUGAAAUAUGUCGCAAAGAUGAUGUUAUCUUACGAUAUGGAGCAUUUCUCUUUGAAAAAUACAGUAGCACUCAAGCAGAACUGAUUAGACAAUCUAUGCGGCAACUUGGGAGGUUAACAAUGGAAAUCACUAAGGGAAAUACCGAUGUGAACAAGUUAAUUGACUCUUUCAUCCCUGAAAAGUUUGACGCUGUUGUUUUAGCGACAAAGUCACUCUGUUCAACAUCUAACGAAGUAGCGAAAAGGACUGAAUUUGGAAUUCCGUCUUUAGCGUUGAAAAUUGGAUAUUCUAUUAGAAAGUGCAUUGGAAUCGAAAGAGGUUUAUGUUUGCGAAAGGGAGACCUGAAAAAAAAAUGAUAUAUUGUUGAGUUUUUUGUCAAUUUUGGAUUUGGAGUGGAGCGUUAGGAUUUCAUCCAAUGCACUAGCUACUUUGUAAUCCAGAAAACUCAAUUCUGUCGAUUUGCUUCCAAUAACUGGCGAUUUAAUCAAAUUGAGCAAAUUUUUAGAAUUCAUGAUCCGGGAAACUAAGAGUGAUAUGGAAAGAGAAACGAUUUUCUCAAAUUGGAGUAAACUAGCAUCAAUCACCUUGAGUCGAAUUAUUCUAUUCAAUAAAAGACGUUCAGGAGAAGCUGCAAGAAUGAAAAUCGAAAAUUACACUAACAGACCAUCAUGGAAAAGUCAAGGUGUAGCAGAAAUGAAAAAAACUUUAACGGAAUUCGAAAAUAAGUUAGCUAAUGGUCUAACAGUAAUAGAAAUAAUAGGAAAGCGAGGAAGGAAAGUGCCAGUAUUGCUCACUAAAGACAUGAAAGAAUCUGUUGAUUUUUUAUUGGCAACUCGCGUAGAAGUGAGAGUACCCGAUGAAAAUCCUUUUGUUUUUGCACGGUUAGGUGUUUUGAAUUCAUAUAUGAGAGGGCACGAUUGUAUAAAAAAAUGAUGUUCUGAAGCAAACCUGAAGUCGCCAGAAACAAUAACAAGUACAAAAUUACGAAAGUACGUAGCUACCGUUUGCCAAGUUUUCAAUCUCAAAGAAUAUAAAUGUGAUUGGCUCGCGCGACAUUUGGGCCACGAUAUAAGAGUCCAUCGUGAAUUUUACCGCCUUCAUGAAAAUACAGUAGAGCUUACCAAAGUUAGCAGGUUGCUUCUCGCAGUCGACCAAGGGCAAGCACAUUCAUUUGCUGGAAAAUCUUUGGAGGACAUUGAAGUACAGGAUGAGAUAAAUUUUAAUUUUCUUAUUGCCAGUUCUGUAAGUUUCAUUUAUAACAAGAUUUCAAAAAUAAUUUGGAUUGAUCCUAUACAGAGUACGCCAAACGAUGGCGUAUUAGAAGUAUCUAGAGAAAGAAAUAUAUUAUUAACGUUAUUUGGGCUUAUCUUAUAGUUGACUCCUAUUGUUUUUGACAUAUAAAUCCAUUUUCGAUUUUUUGACUUCAAAAACAACAUCAUUAUAAAAUGUGGUAUUUUUCUGACCAGUGCUGAUAGAAAGCUGCAUUUGUUACAAAAAAUAUUCCUUUUCGUUCUGUAGAUACUUAUAAUAUGCAAUCGAUCAAUUUUGGCCCACCCUGUAUAUCAAUGAAAUAUCAAAAUCUGUUAUUCUUCUAGAUUUACCACCUAUAGAAGAAGAUCCCCCUGAUAAAAAUGAUAACGAUGAAGCUGAUGAUAUAUGUGAUGGGGAAGUUCCAAGUAGUAGCAUUGAGGAUUCAGGUCGCAUUACUGUGAACGAAGUAGAAGAAGAAUUAACAUCUGAACCAUUAUAUGGAAAAAAUUAAAAAAACCUAAAAACGUUAAAGCUAAAAGGUCGAAGAGAGAAGCAGCUUUAGGUAGAGUUCCGUGGAGUGAUGCAGAAACAGAAGUAUUAUUGAAGAAAUUCAACGUAGAGAUUAAAAAUGGAAUCGUACCAGGAAAGGAUAAGUUUACAAAAAUCAAAGAGAAGCAUGACGACAUACUCAGUCGCAGAUCAUGGACCGAUAUCAAAUUUUUUGUUAAAAAUUUUAUAACUAGAAAUAAGAAAAUCAAAAAGUAGAGAAACAGUACUACUUACUAUUGUUAUAAUAAUUGUGCCUUCUCUUUUUUAACGUUGUACGUAACUGAAGUUUUACUUUUGGUUUAUAAUAAUGAUACAAAGUUGACUUAUGAUGAAGUUUUCCUGAAUACGUUUUCUUGAUAUUUGAAUAAAUGAUAUUUUUAUAACUCGAGAGUUUUGUGUUAUGUUAAAAUAAAAGGCAGUUUUCUCAAUCGUUGGUUGAAUAAUUGGAAGAUUCUUGGUAUGUAAUGGUAUGGGCCAAUUUGUUUGAUAUUGGUAGAAAAACUGGCCUUACUUACGUUUUCAUUAGAAGUAUUGGAGAUUUCCUUGUGAAAAGAAUUAAAAUAUUAUGUUGGAAUACUUUCAAACUAUAGAACUGUACUGAAAAUUAGGUAAAUAAAUUGUUUAAUCUCA